rnacentral:rRNA from 1 species
GAUGAACGCUGGCGGCGUGCUUAACACAUGCAAGUCGAACGAUGAAGCCCAGCUUGCUGGGUGGAUUAGUGGCGAACGGGUGAGUAACACGUGAGUAACCUGCCCUUAACUCUGGGAUAAGCCUGGGAAACUGGGUCUAAAACCGGAUAGGAGCGCCUACCGCAUGGUGGGUGUUGGAAAGAUUUAUCGGUUUUGGAUGGACUCGCGGCCUAUCAGCUUGUUGGUGAGGUAAUGGCUCACCAAGGCGACGACGGGUAGCCGGCCUGAGAGGGUGACCGGCCACACUGGGACUGAGACACGGCCCAGACUCCUACGGGAGGCAGCAGUGGGGAAUAUUGCACAAUGGGCGAAAGCCUGAUGCAGCGACGCCGCGUGAGGGAUGACGGCCUUCGGGUUGUAAACCUCUUUCAGUAGGGAAGAAGCGAAAGUGACGGUACCUGCAGAAGAAGCACCGGCUAACUACGUG